CCUCCCACAGCUUCCAAGCCCUUAGAAUGAUUUCUGUGACCUGGAAGGAAUCAUGUGACCUCCGGCAAGAGGUUUCCGGUUGGGUUAGUAUGGGGGUAGGACCUUGCUUGUCUCGUCAAACAUUCAACCAAUGUGCAAACAAUUGCCCCUCACUUCUACAUCCUUGUCCCUCCCCCAACUUGAUUCACCAUUUGAGGUCGGGAUCAUUUAUCUGUCAGGGAGAGAGAAAGAGAAGGAUGGAUGGAUGGAUGGAGAGGAAGGGCCUGGUGGGGAAGGGAGGGUUGGGUUGAUGCAUCUUUAGCCAUUUAAAAUUAAAAUUGAAAAAAAAAGAGAGAAACCUGCUCUGAAAGCCCAUUAUAUUUGCAAUAUUUCCCCUUUGAAGUUUUGUUCUGUACUAUGGGCGAUGAGCAGUAGAGAAAACUUGACCAGUUCGGCUACUUUAAGUUCACCAGUGAGAGGAAAUGCCAUCCAGUGUGAUGAGCCCUGCACAGACUCUUCUCUUACUUAUAACUAGAUAAAAAGGGAAAAUAUGCAUCCAAUCAAAAUACAAACUGGUUUAAGAUGAUCCCUUUUUCUUUUCUUUUGGUAUGUUCCUUUCUUUGGUGGGGAUUAUGUGCAAUGCCAGUGAAGUAAAUAAAGUAUUUGCAAAGC